rnacentral:rRNA from 1 species
GCCUACGGGACGCAGCAGUGGGGAAUAUUGCACAAUGGGGGAAACCCUGAUGCAGCGACGCCGCGUGGAGGAAGAAGGUCUUCGGAUUGUAAACUUCUGUCCUUGGGGACGAUAAUGACGGUACCCAAGGAGGAAGCACCGGCUAACUACGUGCCAGCAGCCGCGGUAAAACGUAGGGGGCAAGCGUUGUCCGGAAUUACUGGGUGUAAAGGGAGCGCAGGCGGCGUGACAAGUUGGGAGUGAAAACUACGGGCUCAACCCUGGAACUGCUUUCAAAACUGUCUGUCUAGAGUGUCGGAGAGGUA